AGACCCGAAACCCGGUGAUCUAGCCAUGGGCAGGUUGAAGGUUGGGUAACACUAACUGGAGGACCGAACCGACUAAUGUUGAAAAAUUAGCGGAUGACCUGUGGCUGGGGGUGAAAGGCCAAUCAAACCGGGAGAUAGCUGGUUCUCCCCGAAAGCUAUUUAGGUAGCGCCUCGUGAAUUCAUCUCCGGGGGUAGAGCACUGUUUCGGCUAGGGGGCCAUCCCGGCUUACCAACCCGAUGCAAACUGCGAAUACCGGAGAAUGUUAUCACGGGAGACACACGGCGGGUGCUAACGUCCGUCGUGAAGAGGGAAACAACCCAGACCGCCAGCUAAGGUCCCAAAGUCAUGGUUAAGUGGGAAACGAUGUGGGAAGGCCCAGACAGCCAGGAUGUUGGCUUAGAAGCAGCCAUCAUUUAAAGAAAGCGUAAUAGCUCACUGGUCGAGUCGGCCUGCGCGGAAGAUGUAACGGGGCUAAACCAUGCACCGAAGCUGCGGCAGCGACGCUUAUGCGUUGUUGGGUAGGGGAGCGUUCUGUAAGCCUGUGAAGGUGUGUCGUGAGGCAUGCUGGAGGUAUCAGAAGUGCGAAUGCUGACAUAAGUAACGAUAAAGCGGGUGAAAAGCCCGCUCGCCGGAAGACCAAGGGUUCCUGUCCAACGUUAAUCGGGGCAGGGUGAGUCGACCCCUAAGGCGAGGCCGAAAGGCGUAGUCGAUGGGAAACGGGUUAAUAUUCCCGUACUUGGUGUUACUGCGAAGGGGGGACGGAGAAGGCUAUGUUGGCCGGGCGACGGUUGUCCCGGUUUAAGCGUGUAGGUGUGUGUUCCAGGUAAAUCCGGUUCACUUUAACACUGAGGCGUGAUGACGAGGCACUACGGUGCUGAAGUAACAAAUGCCCUGCUUCCAGGAAAAGCCUCUAAGCAUCAGGUAACAUCAAAUCGUACCCCAAACCGACACAGGUGGUCAGGUAGAGAAUACCAAGG
rnacentral:rRNA from 1 species